rnacentral:rRNA from 1 species
AUUGAACGCUGGCGGCAUGCCUAACACAUGCAAGUCGAACGAGUGGCGGACGGGUGAGUAAUGUCUGGGAAACUGCCUGAUGGAGGGGGCUAACUACUGGAAACGGUAGCUAAUACCGCAUACCAUCAGAUGUGCCCAGAUGGGAUUAGCUAGUUGGUGGGGUAACGGCUCGACAAGGCGACGAUCCCUAGCUGGUCUGAGAGGAUUACCAGCCACACUGGAACUGAGACACGGACCAGACUCCGCCGGGAGGCAGCAGUGGGGAAUAUUGCACAAUGGGCGCAAGUCUGAUACAGCCAUGCGGCGAGUAGGAAGAAGGCCUGCGGGUUGUAAAGUACUUUCAGCGUGGAGGCGUUACCCGAAGAAGAAGCACCGGCUAACUACGUGCCAGCAGCCGCGGUAAUAC